rnacentral:rRNA from 1 species
CCUACGGGUGGCUGCAGUGGGGAAUAUUGCACAAUGGGCGCAAGCCUGAUGCAGCCAUGCCGCGUGUGUGAAGAAGGCCUUCGGGUUGUAAAGCACUUUCAGCGGGGAGGAAGGCGGUGAGGUUAAUAACCCCAUCGAUUGACGUUACCCGCAGAAGAAGCACCGGCUAACUCCGUGCCAGCAGCCGCGGUAAUACGGAGGGUGCAAGCGUUAAUCGGAAUUACUGGGCGUAAAGCGCACGCAGGCGGUCUGUCAAGUCGGAUGUGAAAUCCCCGGGCUCAACCUGGGAACUGCAUUCGAAACUGGCAGGCUAGAGUCUUGUAGAGGGGGGUAGAAUUCCAGGUGUAGCGGUGAAAUGCGUAGAGAUCUGGAGGAAUACCGGUGGCGAAGGCGGCCCCCUGGACAAAGACUGACGCUCAGGUGCGAAAGCGUGGGGAGCAAACAGGAUUAGAUACCCCAGUAGUC